rnacentral:rRNA from 1 species
GGGCUCACACAAGCGGUGGAGCAUGUUGCUUAAUUCGAGGCAACGCGAAGAACCUUACCUGGGUUUGACAUGCAUGGAUUAACUCCUGGAAACAGGAGCCACACCCUCUGGGUGGAACAUGCACAGGUGCUGCAUGGCUGUCGUCAGCUCGUGCUGUGAAGUGUCGGGUUAAGUCCUCUAACGAGCGCAACCCCUGUCGUUAGUUGCUCACGGGUAAUGCCGAGCACUCUAGCGAGACUGCCGGUGUCAAACCGGAGGAAGGUGGGGAUGACGUCAAGUCCUCAUGGCCCUUACAUCCAGGGAUGCAAACGUGCUACAAUGGCGCGUACAGAGCGAAGCAAGGCCGCAAGGCGGAGCAAAUCGCAAAAAGCGCGCCCCAGUUCGGAUUGCAGGCUGCAACUCGCCUGCAUGAAGUCGGAAUCGCUAGUAAUCGGAGAUCAGCUACGCUCCGGUGAAUGAGUUCCUGAGCCUU